rnacentral:lncRNA from 1 species
CAAUUUGAAGCCAAUCUGGGCAACUUUGUGAGACUCUGUUUCAAAAUAAAAAAGGACUGGAGAUGUAUUUCAGUGACUUUCAGGAGCAGAGGGAUCCUAAAAGCUGGAUCUGUAGCUGCAACACCUUUGUCCACAGCUGUCUUCUCACUGUGUUUUGUUGCUGUACUGGGAAUUGAACCAGGGCCACCACCGCUGGGCGAAUACUCUAUCACUGAGGUAUAUCCAUAGCCCCUUAAAGAUUUCUUUUCUUUUUUCUCCUUUCUUUCCUUCCCC